CGGCCACAUAACGUUGAAACUCCGGUUUCCGUACAAUCUCCGAAGUUAAGCAACGUCGAAACUGGUCAGUACCCAGAUAGGUGACCGGUUAGGAAUACCAGGUACUGUAAG
rnacentral:rRNA from 1 species